UACAAAAUUCCUCAAGAAAGAGAAUUUGCUCAGAAUUCUUUCUUGGAAGGCCAAGAACAAAAUUCCUUUUUUGGACAGAAUACGAGCCUUCCCUCAGGCCUUCUCCCUCAUGUUCCCCAUUCCUUCCAGGUCCUGGACAUCUAGAUCUGGGAUUCCUGCAACUCCAACCAACUGGUGAAGGAUUUAGAGUUCAAGGCAUCAGUUUUGAAAAAUCCAGGGUGGUUCAAGCUUCAAUGGCCUGAAUAGGAAAUAAGUACUGAUUUUUUAACUGAGCCUGCAUAAACUACUCUAAAGGGAUGCCUUUGUCAGUGAGAGACCUAAUUCUUUAUCAUCCUCCAGAGCAGGGCUCUGUGAAAGCAGGAACUGUGUGGUCUUCAGCUUGCUGGGCACCUACAACUAGAACAGGAGUAUGGCAAAUGUUCAACAAAUAUUCGUUGAAUCACUACAGAGGACCUAAGAAUAAUAACUAUAUUCAACAAGGGCACACUGGGAUAACAAGUCAUGUUACAGCUGAGGCCAAAGGAAGGGCACAGUUACCAGUCAAGCUGCAGAAUAGCCUCAUCUGGACUGAAGUAAAACUAUUUAGGAUGGAAAUAGUUGUAAUACCAACACAGGUGCAUUUUAACACAAAGAAAGUAUUUAAAAUUUAAUAUGAUGGAAAUUAAUUAGAGGAGUUUUCAAGGAGAUUUUAAAAAGGGAGCUUGAUCUAUAUAGAUAUUUGAUGUCACACUGUGAGAAGCUCAUUAAAUACAAAAUGGUAACUAAAUAAUAGUUUGAAAGCAAAAUGAGCAAAAAGGUUCUGUGAAUGAAGGAUGGAGAAUUGGAAAAUCAUAUGCUAAUCCUUUAAAUUCCAGUUACUUUUAUGCUUAAUUUAUACUCAGAACUACCCAGGGAUUAAUAUAGCAGGCCAGUAAUGAUUGAAAAAUCUAUAUUUUCUAAGUAAAAUAUAAAUAUUUGAAGUGCUCUGCAUCACCAGGAAGACUAUAAUAUCAGGUGCAUGUCUGCUCUACUUUUUCCAUUUAAUACUACGCUUCAUUUCUAGAGCUUUUAUAUGAGGUUGCCUAAUAACAAUGGUUAGUUAUACUUAAUUACUCAGGAACAACAGAGUAGAAGGCCACGACCAACUCUGUGGCAUUAUGGAAAUCUAUAUCACAACUUUUUACCUACUAAAAUAAAGUACAGUUGUUCUCAGUUUGUAGGUCUCCAGUAUACACAAAUUUCAGCUUUCACAGUUUAAAUAACAUCAGUCCUCCAACAAGUGCAGUUCAAGUUUUAGUCACCACGGCUAGAUCUUUCAUCUACAAACACUAUAUAAAUAACAGAUGUGCAUCAAGAUCUGUGACCAAUUAUGCCACUUCUUUUAAAGUUGGUCAGUGGGUGGAUUGGUCACUGUGUGUCUGUUCUUCAAUUUAUACACCGACAGCAAAGUGUGAGGCCGUGUUUCCCCCUUUUUUCCCCCCACCUACGUGGCAUUUUACAAACAUGGAUGAUGGUAAGAGGGAAUGGGUUAACAGAUGAAAGUGCAACAAAAGAAUAAAAAGUGAUAAUGUAGAGGUGAAAUUUGAACCACUUUUAAUGGAGCUAUAGAAGAAAUGGCUGACCACAGGAAAUGUUGACAUGGUCACCAUUCAACUCUGGAUAUGCAACCAGAGGAACUUAAUGAAGAUAAACUUGCGGACAAAAAUGAGAAAAGUGCUUGUGAUGAAAAGGGGGAAGAUGAUCCCAAAGUAAAGAUGCUGUCAAUAUUUCACAUUAAAGGAAUUCUUAGAUAUUUUAUGAUUUGAAAGUGCAAAGGAAAAAAAAAAUUGGAAGCUGAUCCAAACUAAGAAAGGAAUAUGCCAAUUUGCCACAGCAUAAAAAUGAUGCUAACUUCAUGUAAGUUAUAUAAUGUGAAGGCAAGCACUAUCCAAAUUACCCAUAACUUUUUUGACAAAGAAACAAUAUUUUUAAUGUUUUUAAGAAAAUUUUUUUUUAACGUUUAUUUAUUUUUGAGACAGAGAGAGACAGAGCAUGAACGGGGGAAGGGCAGAGAGAGAGGGAGACACAGAAUCUCAAACAGGCUCCAGGCUCCGAGCUGUCAGCACAGAGCCCGACGCGGGGCUCGAAUUCACGGACCAGGAGAUCAUGACCUGAGCCGAAGUUGGCCGCUUAACUGACUUAGCCAUCCAGGCGCCCUAUUUUUAAUGUUUUAAGUCAUGGUGUAAUAAAUACUAGUUUUACUAUUUUUUGAUCAUUUCCCUAUGUAUUUAAAACAGAGUUUUUAAACU